rnacentral:snoRNA from 1 species
AAUGCUGUGAUGAGAUGAGCACCGUACCUUUGGUGUUUUGGGCAGUGGGUAAAAUAAAGUUUGAUUUUUAAUCCUCCUCCGUGAGCCCUCAGCUCUAAUUAACGAUUUCUGCUUCCACUGAACAUU